CUGCAGAGAGAUGCUGUGAUGUUUAAGAUUGGUAGUUUGCUUGUAUGUGGUGCGCGUUAGAUGUGUAUAAGUUUAGUGUACGAGAUAUAUAAACUGAAGUUAGUUCGUUGUUGCUAGCUGUAAUAUAACAGUACCUAUUUAGUCUUUAAAGUAGAAUGAUGAUAAAUAAUUACGGAAUAAUUAAUAUGUAUACUGAAGAGUAUUAUAUUAAACGUGAACAAUACUUUAUAUUUCCAAAUACUUCGCAUUAUAAAAAGGACUUAAACGGGGCUGCAACUAAUGGAACCACAUAUAUCUCAGACACGUGAAGUAUCAUAUGAAAAUGAUGAUUAUGAUGAUGAUAAUGAUGAAAAUGACGACGACGACGACCACGACGACGCCGCCGCCCCCGCCACCGCCGCCGAUGACGAUGCUGUUGCUGCUGAUGCUGAUGCUGCUGCUGCUGCUGCUAAUGAUGAUGAUGAUGCUGAUUAUGUUCAAUAUCACGAAAGCAUUUGAACAUAGAUGGAGAAGUGGACCGCUAAACAUUAGAACUGACGUGUAUACAUGUACAUCGAACAAGCAUAAUAGACCUCAAUUUAAACGAGUGUUCUGGUUAAAAAUAAGUAGCUUUUCUUCACAUGGACUGGGUAUUAAAGAUAAAGACCGCAGGAGCACAUCGGCACUUGAAAUAGGGCUAAUUCUGUACCCCGCAAAUACAUGUUUUGAACAUUACGUUAAGAAAAUAAGAACACAGUCAUUA